UUGCAGAAGAGUUAGAUCCAGGUCAGAUGAAUUCCUCUAUUCUACGCCCAGUACAAGGUGAUUGUGGCUACUCACUGCCCCAUACACCAUCCCAGAGAACUGACUCAGGCCGUAAUGCAGAAGGCAGGGCAAUGGAGAAGACCAUCGCAGACUGCCUGAUGUCCACGCUGGAGAACUUGCGGGAGGAUGAACUCAAGAAAUUC